rnacentral:rRNA from 1 species
AGCAUGCAGUCGGACGCCCCGCAAGGGGAGUGGCGCAAGGGUGAGUAAGGCGAUGGUAACCAACCUCGCGGACGGGCAUAGCCGGGGGAAACCCCGGGUAAUUCCCGGCGACGCGGCGGACCGGCAUCGGUCUGCCGCCAAAGGCUUCGGCCGCCGCGAGACGGGCCGUCGUGGUAUUAGGUCGUUGGUGGGGUGACGGCCCACCAAGCCUGCGAUGCCUACCGGGUGUGAGGGCAUGGCCCGGCACACUGGGACUGAGACACUGCCCAGACUCCUACGGGAGGCUGCAGUCGAGAAUCUUCGGCAAUGGGCGCAAGCCUGACCGAGCGACGCCGCGUGGAGGACGAAGGCCUUCGGGUUGUAAACUCCUGUCGAGGGGGAGGAAGGCGCAAGCUUGACCGAUCCCUGGAGGAAGCACGGGCUAAGUUCGUGCCAGCAGCCGCGGUGAGACGAACCGUGCGAACGUUAUUCGGAAUCACUGGGCUUAAAGCGCGUGUAGGCGGGCCGGCGCGUCCGACGCUGAAAUCCCCCGGCUCAACCGGGGAAGUGGCGGGGAUACGGCCGGCCUCGAGGGGGGUAGGGGGACCUGGAACUUCCGGUGGAGCGGUGAAAUGCGUUGAGAUCGGAAGGAACGCCCGUGGCGAAAGCGAGGUCCUGGACCCUUUCUGACGCUGAGACGCGAAAGCCAGGGGAGCGAACGGGAUUAGAUACCCCGGUAGUCCUGGCCGUAAACGAUGAACACUGGGUAGGGGGCUCGCCGAUGGGCUCCCUGCCGUAGGGAAACCGUGAAGUGUUCCGCCUGGGGAGUAUGGUUGCAAGGCUGAAACUCAAAGGAAUUGACGGGGGCUCAC